GACGAACGCUGGCGGCGUGCUUAACACAUGCAAGUCGUACGGUAAGGCCCUUUCUGGGGUACACGAGUGGCGAACGGGUGAGUAACACGUGAGUAACCUGCCCACAACUUUGGGAUAACGCUAGGAAACUGGUGCUAAUACUGGAGAUGUUCUUCUGCUGCAUGGUGGGGGUUGGAAAGCUCCGGCGGUUGUGGAUGGACUCGCGGCCUAUCUGCUUGUUGGUGGGGUAGUGGCCUACCAAGGCGGCGACGGGUAGGCGGCCUGAGAGGGUGACCGGCCACAGUGGGACUGAGAUACGGCCCAGACUCCCAAGGGAGGCAGCCGGGGGGAAUAUUGCACAAUGGGCGAAAGCCUGAUGCAGAAACGCCGCGUGCGGGAUGACGGCCUUCGGGUUGUAAACCGCUUUCAGCAGGGACGAAGCUUUUUGUGACGGUACCUGCAGAAGAAGCACCGGCUAACUACGUG
rnacentral:rRNA from 1 species